rfam:Schistosoma mansoni strain Puerto Rico chromosome 4, complete genome
AUCCAGCUGACGAGUUCCCAAAUAGGACGAAAUGCGCGUCAAACUGGAU